AUGCAAUAUACACACCACACCCCCGGACGCAUCCCAACCAAUAGUGCCGGGUCAACCCCGGAGACCUUGCAGAUCUUCUCCAUCAAGCUCGCGGAAUUAGCUGGUGGCUUUAAGUGGCCAUUGUCAGUGUAUGGCGUGGUUGCUGCCCGUGACAUCGUGGAUCACAACCGCAACAUUCUCUUCUCCUGCAUUAGGAGCCAGGCCCAGGAAUUGAAACAUGAUGAUCCUUUUUUGCGAUUGACUGGCCCAACCCGUGCAAUUGUGUGUUCGGACACGGUCGAAUUUGAAAUCCAACUAAAAGUAAAAGGUACAACACAGUCUCAAGAUGAAGCAUUGAUCAGAUGUGCACGUGAUUGCAGUGGAUGA
rnacentral:rRNA from 1 species